GCAAAGAAGAGACUUGUCUAGCUCCUGUAAGUUAGUGCAAAUGAAUUUUACAUACAUCCUUCUCAAAAAUCAGACCUUAACUAGCAUAAAAUCGAAAGUUGUAUUCCUAACAUAUUUGCCACCAAAAAACAACAAAAUGCAGUAUUUCUCAGAACUUACUAGUAGCCCAGACUUCCGUUGAAGCUCAAAAGAUGAGCAAUAUACUCAGGUACGUACACAACAAAUUUCAGAUCUUAACUCAAACAAAUAAGCUACUUCUAUUCCUAACAUAUUUUUGGAGGUACACAUCUUUAGACAGCCAUUUCAUAGUGAUGAUGUCAUAUGAUGUAACAGGUGGUGGUCCAAUGGAAGCGCCAAUAGUUGAACUUUCAGUACCUGCACUCAAAUAGAUCAUAUCACCUUUACUUCAGAAGAUAUGCCACAAAAUGUGAAAAAUAAUAAUAUAAAAAAAAAUCUACUCUCUUUGGUUGUUGCACUGUAGCUACAUAAUAUGUGACAGGGCCAAUGAAAACAGACCUUAACGCGGGCAUUUUCGAAUCAGUUUUUAUUGUUGAAUCGGAUAGGGCGUCCUUUAAGCUUCAAAAUGAUACCAAGAUCGACCUCCUAGCUACUUUCUUUCCGGAGAUAUGUUCGAGGGAACGCUACAAAGGUAUUGCAACGCCCUCUUGAGUAAAUGACACUCAAACGUCAUGAUAAUUGAAGUUCAAUUAUUGGCUUCCGGGCACUUCCGUAUACUCAUAAAGCUUAGUAAAAGAUGUUCUGGAGAAGACAAGUUAGUUAGAUGAAGGCUAGGCGUUCUAGGACUCUCUAGCUAGCUAGUAUAGCUAUGUAGCUGGAUUGCUUGGCACCUAGGAAGGAUCUUCGAAGAAAUAAAGAGACAAAAACUCCCGUCGCUCGAAUGGUGGUGGUAAGUGUCGGAGGCCUGAGAAACGCUAGUCUAUUGGCUAGAAUGUUGUUAUGGAGUGUUUAUGAGGACACGUGGCACGGGAUACGUACAUCUAAAGAAACAAGAGUGGAUCUACGCCAAGCUAGCUAGCUAGGUAGCUGCUCUUUCUAAUCUAUUUCUGUUGCUAAAUUAUGUUUGUUAAGAAGUGGAGCUAUAAUAUACCUGGCUCCUCUUGAUGAUUGUAAGUACUGGGCUGAUGAAAUAGUCCUGUACAAGUUGUCAUCUUUUAUUUGUUAAAAAUAAUUAACAAUAGGGAAAUUCCCAGGGAAUUUCCCCUCACGUAGACAGUAAAUUUCAUUGUAAAAAAUGAACGUUUGGUGAGUUUCUUCAACGUCCGCGCUUGACCUGUUUAAAGCUUUGUAGAGACCCAAAUUUUUACAGGUAGGUAGAGGAAGGGUUGAAGUUAGCACCUGUGAAAAAAAAAAUUUUUUGCCUAUGUCUUUCAUUUCUACUAAAUCGGCCUAUAGCUUAAUUUAAUUAUUGCCGCGUUAAGGUCUGUUUUCAUUGGCCCUGUCA